rnacentral:tRNA from 1 species
GCUCAGCUGGCUCAGUUGGUACAGCAUGGUGUGUGCAACGCCAGGGUUGUGGGUUCGAUUCCCACGGGGGGCC